CAAAGGGAAUGCCUCAGUAACGGCGAGUGAAGCGGCAAAAGCUCAAAUUUGAAAUCCCCCGGGAAUUGUAAUUUGAAGAGAUUUGGGUCCGGCCGGCGGGGGUUAAGUCCACUGGAAAGUGGCGCCACAGAGGGUGACAGCCCCGUGAACCCCUUUAACGCCUUCAUCCCAGAUCUCCAAGAGUCGAGUUGUUUGGGAAUGCAGCUCUAAGUGGGUGGUAAAUUCCAUCUAAAGCUAAAUACCGGCGAGAGACCGAUAGCGAACAAGUACAGUGAUGGAAAGAUGAAAAGCACUUUGAAAAGAGAGUGAAAAAGUACGUGAAAUUGUUGAAAGGGAAGGGCUUGCAAGCAGACACUUAACUGGGCCAGCAUCGGGGCGGCGGGAAACAAAACCACCGGGGAAUGUACCUUUCGAGGAUUAUAACCCCGGCCCUUAUUCCCUU
rnacentral:rRNA from 1 species